GGUCCCUUAGCUCAGUUGGUUAGAGCAACUGACUCAUAAUCAGUGGGUCGUCGGUUCAAGCCCGCCAGGGACCA
rnacentral:tRNA from 1 species